rnacentral:rRNA from 1 species
GGGGAAUUUUGGACAAUGGGGGCAACCCUGAUCCAGCAAUGCCGCGUGUGUGAAGAAGGCCUUCGGGUUGUAAAGCACUUUUGUCCGGAAAGAAAUCCUCUGGGUUAAUACCCCGGGGGGAUGACGGUACAGGAAGAAUAAGCACCGGCUAACUACGUGCCAGCAGCCGCGGUAAUACGUAGGGUGCGAGCGUUAAUCGGAAUUACUGGGCGUAAAGCGUGCGUAGGCGGUCCGCUAAGACCGAUGUGAAAUCCCCGGGCUUAACCUGGGAACUGCAUUGGUGACUGGCGGGCUAGAGUGUGGCAGAGGGGGGUGGAAUUCCGCGUGUAGCAGUGAAAUGCGUAGAUAUGCGGAGGAACACCGAUGGCGAAGGCAAUCCCCUGGGCCUGCACUGACGCUCAUGCACGAAAGCGUGGGGAGCAAA